rnacentral:rRNA from 1 species
GACGAACGCUGGCGGCGUGCUUAACACAUGCAAGUCGAACGGAAAGGCCCUGCUUUUGUGGGGUGCUCGAGUGGCGAACGGGUGAGUAACACGUGAGUAACCUGCCCUUGACUUUGGGAUAACUUCAGGAAACUGGGGCUAAUACCGGAUAGGAGCUCCUGCUGCAUGGUGGGGGUUGGAAAGUUUCGGCGGUUGGGGAUGGACUCGCGGCUUAUUAGCUUGUUGGUGGGGUAGUGGCUUACCAAGGCUUUGACGGGUAGCCGGCCUGAGAGGGUAACCGGCCACAUUGGGACUGAGAUACGGCCCAGACUCCUACGGGAGGCAGCAGUGGGGAAUAUUGCACAAUGGGCGGAAGCCUGAUGCAGCAACGCCGCGUGCGGGAUGACGGCCUUCGGGUUGUAAACCGCUUUCGCCUGUGACGAAGCGUGAGUGACGGUAAUGGGUAAAGAAGCACCGGCUAACUACGUG